UGACACACAAAUAUAUCCUGGCAGACAUACUGACACAAACACUGACAGACAUACUGACACACACAUACACACAGACCUACAAACAUACAUACACACAGACGUACUGGCACAUACACACAGACAGACAUUAAAACAUUCACAGAUACAUACUGACACACAAAUAUAUACUGGCAGACAUACUGACACACACAUACACACACAGACACACUGACAUACACACAGACCUACUGACAUACAUUUAGCCACCCUUCAGGUUCUUACCUUUACCAGGAGGGUGGUUUCCCUAGUCCUCUGGAACUCCCCUCCUCCCUACCUUCCUCCUCCCGCGCGCCCAUUAUCUCCGAUGGGAGGAAGUGACGUCACUUCCUCCCAGCUGGCUGCAGAACAGGAAGGGGCCCGGUCGCGUGGUUUAAGCGCCACAGCGCCCAACCG